rnacentral:rRNA from 1 species
UACGGAGGGUGCGAGCGUUGUCCGGAAUCAUUGGGCGUAAAGGGCGCGUAGGUGGCCCGGUCAGUUCGUGGUGAAAGCGCGGGGCUCAACCCUGCGUCGGCCAUGAAUACUGCCGCGGCUGGAGCACUGUAGAGGCAGGCGGAAUUCCGGGUGUAGCGGUGGAAUGCGUAGAGAUCCGGAAAGAACACCGGUGGCGAAGGCGGCCUGCUGGCCAGGUUGCUGGACACUGAGGCGCGACAGCGUGGGGAGCAAACAGG